rnacentral:rRNA from 1 species
GCUUAACACAUGCAAGUCGAACGGAAAGGCCCUGCUUUUGUGGGGUGCUCGAGUGGCGAACGGGUGAGUAACACGUGAGUAACCUGCCCUUGACUUUGGGAUAACUUCAGGAAACUGGGGCUAAUACCGGAUAGGAGCUCCUGCUGCAUGGUGGGGGUUGGAAAGUUUCGGCGGUUGGGGAUGGACUCGCGGCUUAUCAGCUUGUUGGUGGGGUAGUGGCUUACCAAGGCUUUGACGGGUAGCCGGCCUGAGAGGGUGACCGGCCACAUUGGGACUGAGAUACGGCCCAGACUCCUACGGGAGGCAGCAGUGGGGAAUAUUGCACAAUGGGCGGAAGCCUGAUGCAGCAACGCCGCGUGCGGGAUGACGGCCUUUCGGGUUGUAAACCGCUUUCGCCUGUGACGAAGCGUGAGUGACGGUAAUGGGUAAAGAAGCACCGGCUAACUACGUGCCAGCAGCCGCGGUGAUACGUAGGGUGCGAGCGUUGUCCGGAUUUAUUGGGCGUAAAGGGCUCGUAGGUGGUUGAUCGCGUCGGAAGUGUAAUCUUGGGGCUUAACCCUGAGCGUGCUUUCGAUACGGGUUGACUUGAGGAAGGUAGGGGAGAAUGGAAUUCCUGGUGGAGCGGUGGAAUGCGCAGAUAUCAGGAGGAACACCAGUGGCGAAGGCGGUUCUCUGGGCCUUUCCUGACGCUGAGGAGCGAAAGCGUGGGGAGCGAACAGGCUUAGAUACCCUGGUAGUCCACGCUGUAAACGGUGGGUACUAGGUGUGGGGUCCAUUCCACGGGUUCCGUGCCGUAGCUAACGCUUUAAGUACCCCGCCUGGGGAGUACGGCCGCAAGGCUAAAACUCAAAGGAAUUGACGGGGCCCCGCACAAGCGGCGGAGCAUGCGGAUUAAUUCGAUGCAACGCGUAGAACCUUACCUGGGUUUGACAUGGAUCGGGAGUGCUCAGAGAUGGGUGUGCCUCUUUUGGGGUCGGUUCACAGGUGGUGCAUGGCUGUCGUCAGCUCGUGUCGUGAGAUGUUGGGUUAAGUCCCGCAACGAGCGCAACCCUUGUUCACUGUUGCCAGCACGUUAUGGUGGGGACUCAGUGGAGACCGCCGGGGUCAACUCGGAGGAAGGUGGGGAUGACGUCAAGUCAUCAUGCCCCUUAUGUCCAGGGCUUCACGCAUGCUACAAUGGCUGGUACAGAGAGUGGCGAGCCUGUGAGGGUGAGCGAAUCUCGGAAAGCCGGUCUCAGUUCGGAUUGGGGUCUGCAACUCGACCUCAUGAAGUCGGAGUCGCUAGUAAUCGCAGAUCAGCAACGCUGCGGUGAAUACGUUCCCGGGGCUUGUACACACCGCCCGUCAAGUCAUGAAAGUUGGUAACACCCGAAGCCG